rnacentral:rRNA from 1 species
AUGAUGAAUUUGUUUUGUGUUUGUCCUUGGCUAGAUCAGUCUAUUGGGUUGGGUCACAAGAGCUUUAAACAAAUAAUAUUUUUAAAAGUUUUUUCAGGUAUUGUUCUUUGGUCUCUACACAUGUGGCUAGCCAACAUAAAAGGGCUAAGAUCAUGUAAUCCUACUCAAUCUGAUCAAUAUAAAGGUUCUGGAAAUAAAGGAAAAGGAAGUGGAUCUAAUGGACAAGACAAAGUGAGCUCAGUAGAACCAAUUUUGCCUAGUUGUUACCAUCUUCCGACUCAGACUCACACCCGGACAAAUUUCUAG